rnacentral:misc_RNA from 1 species
GAUGAAGAACGCAGCAAAAUGCGAUACUUGGUGUGAAUUGCAGAAUCCCGUGAACCAUCGAGUUUUUGAACGCAAGUUGCGCCCGAAGCCUUUUGGCCGAGGGCACGUCUGCCUGGGCGUCACGCAUCGCGUCGCCCCCCACAAUUCUCCGUAAAGGGAACGUGUGUUUUGGGGGCGGAUAUUGGUCUCCCGUGCUCAUGGCGUGGUUGGCCGAAAUAGGAGUCCUUUCGAUGGACGCACGAACUAGUGGUGGUCGUAAAAACCCUCGUCUUUUGUUUCGUGCUGUUGCUCGCAAGGUAAACUCUUUAAAAACCCCAAUGUGUCGUCUCUUGACGACGCUUCGACCGCGACCCCAGGUCAGGCGGGACUACCCGCUGAGUUUAAGCAUAUCAAUAAGCGGAGG